rnacentral:rRNA from 1 species
GGGCCUGACUACUAAAAAGGUCAGCCUGCCCAGUGACUUAGUUUAACGGCCGCGGUACCCUAACCGUGCGAAGGUAGCAUAAUCACUUGUUCUUUAAAUAGGGACUUGUAUCAACGGCAUCACGAGAGCUUUACUGUCUCCUUUUUCUAAUCAGUGAAACUGAUCUCCCCGUGAAGAAGCGGGGAUGAACCUAUAAGACGAGAAGACCCCAUGGAGCUUUAAACCUUAACGCACCUCUUUUUCUGCAAAUCAUUUCAAGUAAAGAGUGUUGCAUGCUAGUUUUAGAUUGGGGGGAUCACGGAGCAAAAAUUAACCUCCUUGAUAAACGGACUCUGUUCUUAUUUGAGAAAUACCUUUCCAAGAAUCAAUAAAUUGAUGUUUAAUGACCCAAAUUUUUGAUCAACGAACCAAGUUACCCUGGGGAUAACAGCGCAAUCUACUUUGAGAGCCCAUAUCGACAAGUAGGUUUACGACCUCGAUGUUGGAUCAGGAUAUCCCAGUGGUGCAGCCGCUACUAAUGGUUCGUUUGUUCAACGAUUAAAAUCCUACGUGAUCUGAGUUCAGACCGGAGGACCCCCUGUUUAUUCAAAAAAUGGUGUGUGGUUUUGAGUUUAAACCGGGGUCCCCUGUGUUAAACCAAAAGACUAUAGGUUUUUUGACGCAAAAGGGGUGUGCGUUCUUACGA